AACGAACGCUGGCGGCAUGCCUAACACAUGCAAGUCGAACGGGAUCCUAGCUUGCUAGGUGAGAGUGGCGGACGGGUGAGUAACACGUGGGAAUCUGCCUUUUGGUUCGGGAUAACCGCGGGAAACUGCGGCUAAUACCGAAUGCCCUCGAGAGAGGAAAGAUUUAUCGCCAGAAGAGGAGCCCGCGUCCGAUUAGGUAGUUGGUGGGGUAAAGGCCUACCAAGCCGACGAUCGGUAGCUGGUCUGAGAGGAUGAUCAGCCACACUGGGACUGAGAUACGGCCCAGACUCCUACGGGAGGCAGCAGUGGGGAAUAUUGGGACAAUGGGGGCAACCCUGAUCCAGCAAUGCCGCGUGAGUGAUGAAGGCCUUAGGGUUGUAAAGCUCUUUUGCCCAGGGAAGAUGAUGACUGUACCUGGAGAAUAAGCCCCGGCUAACUUCGUGCCAGCAGCCGCGGUAAU
rnacentral:rRNA from 1 species